UACACUGAGAAAUUGUAGAGAUCUCAAACUAAUGACAGACCUUCCAACAACAUUAACGUUUUUGGGUCUGCAAGAUUGCUCAACAAUUGAAAUGUUACCAUCCAACAUUAGCGAUCUCUCUGGACUGAUGAUUCUUGAUUUGAAUGGAUGUAAGAGGCUACAGUCAUUUCCAAAGCUUCCAUCACGAUUAUUCGAAUUGCGGACAAGUGGUUGCACAUCUUUGCAAGGAGUAGACGUUAAGGACUUACAGAAUUUACGAGAUUUAGUAAUCAACUAUGAUCACUUCUGCAGUAAAUCAGAUGAAAUAAGUCGCCUUCCUAAUCUUGAGAGCCUAAUUUUGGAAGGCUGUGAAAGGCCUCAAACAUUUCCAAAGCUUCCAUCAAGUUUAUCUUCCUUAUUUGUAGAAGGUGACACAUCGACUUUGCUUGUUAUUAGCGGGGAGAUCCAGAGCAUGGAAACUUCUCAAUCUGUACAAGGCAUCCAUAUGGAAGGGUGCGACCAUCUGGGGAACACUUCGAGGAAGAAUAGCCUUUUCCAGGAUAUACAUAGGGAAUUUGAAGUAUAUGGUACUGGGAGUGAGAUUCCGGAAUGGAUCAGCCAUCAAAAUAUGGGGUCUUCUGAAUCCUUUGAGGUAUCUGAAUGUUCGGGUUGUAAGAUCCAUGGGUUGGAUGUAUCUGCUGUUUUUUUAAAUGAGAAAGAGGCCAUAGACUUCCGUUCUUUUUCUGUAAUUUGUAAUAAAACGAAAGAUAUUCAAUGGGAGCCCGUUGAAGGAGAUUGGCAUAUCACACGUCCACUUCCACAAGGUGAAGACGUACUGUGGGUGCGCCAUAUUACAAUUUGUGAGCUUAGGCAUUACUCAGGACACGAAGCUGAAUUUGGCGAGCACUUUGAAGUGGGGGAUCAAGUGCAGGUGUCAGUAGAAAUUGAGGGUGAUCCUGGAGGAAGUUUGCAAGUGAAGAAGUGUGGAGUCCUGCUAGUCCACAGGCCCGAUGAGGAGAAGAACCUAUCAGAUGAUCCAUCAGUGGGGGAAACCAUAUCUCCUGUAGAUGAUAAUGUUGUUAUGGAUGGAGAAGAAUCAGUAUUAGUUCACAUUGAAGAUGAGAAUAAGAGCGGCCACAAUGAGGGCGUUGCAGGAUUUAGCAUUGAUGCCAAAAGGUUGAAGAUUGGUCUGUAAUUCCUGCAUUAUUUACCAUUUCCUAUAUAUGGAACAUAAGCCCAUUGUAGAGACACAUUCAUUUUGCAAGCUCAGGUGAUGUGAACAAUGAACACAAAGGAAUGCUUGUGCCCCUGCAGGGAUGAGGAGGAUUGUGAAAGCGAAGGGGAAGAGUUUCUGUAAUACCAAAUCAGUAUAUCAACUCCUUGUCUGGCCAGAUGACAAUGGAACAAGCAGUUUAGUUGUGAAGUGAGGAACUUUAUGUCUAAUGACAUGGGCAAACCUCCAAGGACCAUCCUAAUUAGGAGACACCCAAGAUAUGAUGGUAUCAUUGCAUUCAAACUUAUGAUUAUCAAUGGUACAUUAAGAAUCUCUUUCCUCAAUGAUUAGUAAUUUAUUACCAAUCAACUGACCUA